GACGGAGGGUGCUAGCGUUGUUCGGAAUGACUGGGCGUAAAGGGCGCAUAGGCGGCUCGUGAAGUCGGGUGUGAAAGCCCGGGGCUCAACCCCGGAACGGCAUCCGACACUGGCGGGCUUGAGACCGGGAGAGGAGGGUGGAAUACCCAGUGUAGAGGUGAGAUUCGUAGAUAUUGGGUGGAACACCGGUGGCGAAAGCGGCUCUCUGGCCCGGAUCUGACGCUGAGGCGCGAAAGCGUGGGGAGCAAACAGG
rnacentral:rRNA from 1 species